rnacentral:rRNA from 1 species
GAUGAACGCUAGCGGGAGGCCUAAUACAUGCAAGUCGAACGGUAACAGGGUAGCAAUACCGCUGACGAGUGGCGCACGGGUGAGUAACACGUACACAAUCUGCCUUAUACUGGAGCAUACCCCCAAGAAAUUGGGACUAAUUCUCCAUAAUAUAUCGAAGAGGCAUCUCUUUGAUAUUAAAACUCCGGUGGUAUAAGAUGAGUGUGCGUCUGAUUAGCUAGUUGGUAGGGUAACGGCCUACCAAGGCAACGAUCAGUAACUGGUCUGAGAGGAUGAUCAGUCACACGGACACUGAGACACGGGUCCGACUCCUACGGGAGGCAGCAGUAGGGAAUAUUGGACAAUGGGCGCAAGCCUGAUCCAGCCAUCCCGCGUGAAGGAUUAAGGCCCUCUGGGUUGUAAACUUCUUUUUUGGGGGAAUAAAAACUGGGAUUUAUCCUGGCUUGAAGGUACCCCAAGAAUAAGCACCGGCUAACUCCGUGCCAGCAGCCGCCGUAAAAC